AGGUGCUUCAAAAUGGAUUCCUUGAGGACCUGCUCCAUGAUCUUUCCAGGUAUUGAGGGAAGUCCGGAUAAGCAUGGCCAUGGAUAUACCAGAUUUUCGUGCAGCAAGUGUCUGUUCAAGCACAGACAACAGACCAUGACCCUUUUCAUCAUCUAAGGUCAUCUUGAGUAUUAAGGCAAGUCAGCAAUGAAAUGGAAAGGAGAGACACAAAGCAUUUUCUCCACUAUUGCCCCUAUUCUGUGCUUGCAACUGAUUCUUCAUUCUAAGAACAUACAGACUCAACUUAUUUCCCCACUUAUGACACAUGCCUGGAUUUUAGAAGGCUGAAUUUUGGGGGAUGUGCACGUGGUAUGUAAGUAAAAAUGGUAUUCAAUAAAUUACAAAGAAAUGUAUAAAUUAUGUUUGGCAGAGAUGGGAAAAAGAUUAUCCCCAGAUAAUUUGACUUUUUCCCUGUUAAUUUCAACACA